rnacentral:rRNA from 1 species
GAUGAACGCUAGCUACAGGCUUAACACAUGCAAGUCGAGGGGCAGCAUGAGGUCAGCUUGCUGACUUUGAUGGCGACCGGCGCACGGGUGAGUAACGCGUAUCCAACCUUCCCCUGUCUCGUGCAUAACCCGGUGAAAAUCGGACUAAUUCCCGAUGUUGUUCCUUGACGGCAUCAGAUUGGAACCAAAGAUUUAUCGGACAGGGAUGGGGAUGCGUCUGAUUAGGUAGUUGGUGAGGUAACGGCUCACCAAGCCUUCGAUCAGUAGGGGUUCUGAGAGGAAGGUCCCCCACAUUGGAACUGAGACACGGUCCAAACUCCUACGGGAGGCAGCAGUGAGGAAUAUUGGUCAAUGGGCGAGAGCCUGAACCAGCCAAGUAGCGUGCAGGAUGACGGCCCUAUGGGUUGUAAACUGCUUUUAUACGGGGAUAAAGUUGGGGACGCGUCCCCAUUUGUAGGUACCGUAUGAAUAAGGACCGGCUAAUUCCGUGCCAGCAGCCGCCGUAAAAC